GCUUUUAUUAGUACAAAAACCCUUCAGGCUUUCGGGCCAGACAGAAGUGGUGACUCUAGAUAACAUUGCUGAGCGAAAUGCCUUGUCCCCGCAAGGGGGCAGCCACCCGCCUCUCUGGGGCGCGGUGGUGAGCGCAGUCGCCGAAUCCAACGAGUGUCUGACUUAUCAGCUGUCGACUGUAGGUUAAACGCCUACAGUGGCUAUAACGGGUAACGGGGAAUCAGGGUUCGAUUCCGGAGAGGGAGCCUGAGAGAUGGCUACCACAUCUAAGGAAGGCAGCAGGCGCGCAACUUACCCACUCCCGGCACGGGGAGGUAGUGACGAAAAAUACCGUUGCUGGACUCUUUCGAGUCUUUGCUUCGGAAUGAGUACACUUUAAAUCCUUGCACGAGGAUCUAGUGGAGGGAAAGUCUGGUGCCAGCAGCCGCGGUAAUUCCAGCUCCACUAGCAUAUAUUAAAGUUGCUGCGGCUAAAACGCUCGUAGUUCGAUCUCUGUCCGGGACAGGCGGUUUGCUGUAGUGGCAAUCAGGUCCUGUUUCC
rnacentral:rRNA from 1 species